rnacentral:rRNA from 1 species
GUCAAAAGCUCAAGAGCGAAAUGAAAGUAAUAUAUGGUGAAUGUGACACACCAUUUAUAUUGGUUAGUGGCAUCAUAAUCCCGCUCGUUUUGCAAUGUCAAAAGAGCGGAGUAAGAGUGUACAUGUUGGGACCCGAAAGAUGGUGAACUAUGCGUGAGCAGGAUGAAGCCAGAGGAAACUCUGGUGGAAGUCCAUAGCGGUUCUGACGUGCAAAUCGAUCGUCAGACUUGCGUAUAGGGGCGAAAGACUAAUCGAACCAUCUAGUAGCUGGUUCCUUCCGACUGA